AGAUUUAUCCGGCUCAGAUAACGCUGGCGGCGUGCCUAAUACAUGCAAGUCGAGCGAAUGGAUUAAGAGCUUGCUCUUAUGAAGUUAGCGGCGGACGGGUGAGUAACACGUGGGUAACCUGCCCAUAAGACUGGGAUAACUCCGGGAAACCGGGGCUAAUACCGGAUAACAUUUUGAACUGCAUGGUUCGAAAUUGAAAGGCGGCUUCGGCUGUCACUUAUGGAUGGACCCGCGUCGCAUUAGCUAGUUGGUGAGGUAACGGCUCACCAAGGCAACGAUGCGUAGCCGACCUGAGAGGGUGAUCGGCCACACUGGGACUGAGACACGGCCCAGACUCCUACGGGAGGCAGCAGUAGGGAAUCUUCCGCAAUGGACGAAAGUCUGACGGAGCAACGCCGCGUGAGUGAUGAAGGCUUUCGGGUCGUAAAACUCUGUUGUUAGGGAAGAACAAGUGCUAGUUGAAUAAGCUGGCACCUUGACGGUACCUAACCAGAAAGCCACGCUAACU
rnacentral:rRNA from 1 species